UCAGGAUGAACGCUGGCGGCGUGCCUAAUACAUGCAAGUCGAACGAAGCACCUCGGUGCUUAGUGGCGAACGGGUGAGUAACACGUGGGUAACCUGCCCUCAAGACGAGGAUAACCGUUGGAAACGAUGGCUAAGACUGGAUAGGAAUACGGGAGGCAUCUUCUGUAUUUUAAAAGACCUGGCAACAGGUAUGCUUGAGGAGGGGCCUGCGGCGCAUUAGUUAGUUGGUGAGGUGAUGGCUCACCAAGACGAUGAUGCGUAGCCGGACUGAGAGGUUGAACGGCCACAUUGGGACUGAGACACGGCCCAGACUCCUACGGGAGGCAGCAGUGGGGAAUAUUGCACAAUGGAGGAAACUCUUGAUGCAGCAACGCCGCGUGAAGGAUGACGGCCUUCGGGUUGUAAACUUCUUUGGCAGGGGACGAAGACAGUGACGGUACCCUGAGAACAAGCCACGGCUAACUACGUGCCAGCCGCCGC
rnacentral:rRNA from 1 species